rnacentral:rRNA from 1 species
AGCGAACGCUGGCGGCAGGCUUAACACAUGCAAGUCGAGCGGGCAUAGCAAUAUGUCAGCGGCAGACGGGUGAGUAACGCGUGGGGACGUACCUUUUGGUUCGGAACAACUGAGGGAAACUUCAGCUAAUACCGGAUAAGCCCUUACGGGGAAAGAUUUAUCGCCGAAAGAUCGGCCCGCGUCUGAUUAGCUAGUUGGUGAGGUAAUGGCUCACCAAGGCGACGAUCAGUAGCUGGUCUGAGAGGAUGAUCAGCCACAUUGGGACUGAGACACGGCCCAAACUCCUACGGGAGGCAGCAGUGGGGAAUAUUGGACAAUGGGCGCAAGCCUGAUCCAGCCAUGCCGCGUGAGUGAUGAAGGCCCUAGGGUUGUAAAGCUCUUUUGUGCGGGAAGAUAAUGACGGUACCGCAAGAAUAAGCCCCGGCUAACUUCGUG